GGAUAACUACCCUUUAGGACUGGGAUAACCCUGGGAAACUGGGGAUAAUACCGGAUAGGCAAUUUUUCCUGGAAUGGUUUUUUGUUUAAAUGUUUUUUCGCCUAAGGAUGGGUCUGCGGCCGAUUAGGUAGUUGGUUAGGUAAUGGCUUACCAAGCCGUUGAUCGGUACGGGUUGUGAGAGCAAGAGCCCGGAGAUGGAACCUGAGACAAGGUUCCAGGCCCUACGGGGUGCAGCAGGCGCGAAACCUCCGCAAUGUGAGAAAUCGCGACGGGGGGAUCCCAAGUGCCAUUCUUAACGGGAUGGCUUUUCAUUAGUGUAAAGAGCUUUUGGAAUAAGAGCUGGGCAAGACCGGUGCCAGCCGCCGCGGUAACACCGGCAGCUCUAGUGGUAACAAUUUUUAUUGGGCCUAAAGCGUCCGUAGCCGGUUUAAUAAGUCUCUGGUGAAAUCCUGUAGCUUAACUGUGGGAAUUGCUGGAGAUACUAUUAGACUUGAGACCGGGAGAGGUUAGAGGUACUCCCAGGGUAGAGGUGAAAUUCUGUAAUCCUGGGAGGACCGCCUGUUGCGAAGGCGUCUAACUGGAACGGUUCUGACGGUGAGGGACGAAAGUUAGGGGCGCGAACCGGAUUAGAUACCCGGGUAGUCCUAACUGUAAACGAUGCGGACUUGGUGUUGGGGUGGCUUUGAGCUGCUCCAGUGCCGAAGGGAAGCUGUUAAGUCCGCCGCCUGGGAAGUACGGUCGCAAGACUGAAACUUA
rnacentral:rRNA from 1 species